UGGGGAAUAUUGCACAAUGGGCGCAAGCCUGAUGCAGCCAUGCAGCGUGUAUGAAGAAGGCCUUCGGGUUGUAAAGUACUUUCAGUCGGGAGGAAGGUGUCAAGGUUAAUAACCUUGGCAAUUGACGUUACCGACAGAAGAAGCACCGGCUAACUCCGUGCCAGCAGCCGCGGUAAUACGGAGGGUGCAAGCGUUAAUCGGAAUUACUGGGCGUAAAGCGCACGCAGGCGGUUGAUUGAGUCAGAUGUGAAAUCCCCGGGCUUAACCCGGGAAUUGCAUCUGAUACUGGUCAGCUAGAGUCUUGUAGAGGGGGGUAGAAUUCCAUGUGUAGCGGUGAAAUGCGUAGAGAUGUGGAGGAAUACCGGUGGCGAAGGCGGCCCCCUGGAAAAAGACUGACGCUCAGGUGCGAAAGCGUGGGGAGCAAACAGG
rnacentral:rRNA from 1 species